AUAUUUAAAUUUGUGUAUUAAAAGUUUUUUUGCUUUGGGGUUUCAGAAAAAUUUGGGUUAAAUGUAAGUUUUAGCGGUAAAAGGGGGUAAUUUAAAUAAUAAGUCUGGGUUGAAUUGGCAGUUACUAAUAUUAAAUAUUCGAGGGGUCGAGAUUUAGUGGGGGUUUUAGUAUAAACAAAAUUUGUGCCAGCAGUUGCGGUUACACAAAUUAUGCAAUGAAAGCUUGUUGGGGGUAGUUAAUUGAGAAGAAGAAGAAGGGGUUAGAUUAAUAAAAAUUUUAUUAGGUGAAAUUUUAAGAUUUUGGAGGUCUAAAGAAGAUUAAUGAGGCUAGUAAAUUUUACAAAAAACUAGGAUUAGAUACCCUAUUAUAAAAAUUAAAAUUUAUACCCUAAAUUAUUAGUAGUUAAGUUCUUUAAAAUUAAUAUAAAUGGCGGUAUUUUAGUCCAUUCAGAGGAAUCUGCCCUGUAAUUGAUAGUCCACGAUUUAAUUUACUUGAAUUUUUAGCUUAUAUAUCGCUGUAGAUUAAAUAUUUUCGUUGAAUUUAAAUAUUUAUAGUUUUGAGAGAAAGAACAUCAAGUCAAGAUGUAGCCUAUAUUCAAGCAGAGGUGGAUUACACUAUUAGUAAAUGUGGUUAAUAGCAUGAAAGAGCUAUUAUAAAAUGGAUUUGAAAGUAAUUUUUUAAUAAAAUUUGAAAAAUGAUUUUGGCUCUAGGAUACGUACAUAUCGCCCGUCGCUUCCAUAAUAAGGUGGAAUAAGUCGUAACAAAGUAGAUGUACUGGAAAGUGUCUCUAGAAGACAAAU
rnacentral:ncRNA from 1 species